rnacentral:rRNA from 1 species
AUUGAACGCUGGCGGCAUGCUUUACACAUGCAAGUCGAACGGCAGCACGGGGGCAACCCUGGUGGCGAGUGGCGAACGGGUGAGUAAUAUAUCGGAACGUACCCGGAAAUGGGGGGAUAACGUAGCGAAAGUUACGCUAAUACCGCAUAUGCCCUAAGGGGGAAAGCGGGGGAUUCGCAAGAACCUCGCGUUUUCGGAGCGGCCGAUAUCGGAUUAGCUAGUAGGUGAGGUAAGGCUCACCUAGGCGACGAUCCGUAGCUGGUCUGAGAGGACGACCAGCCACACUGGAACUGAGACACGGUCCAGACUCCUACGGGAGGCAGCAGUGGGGAAUUUUGGACAAUGGGCGCAAGCCUGAUCCAGCCAUGCCGCGUGCAGGAUGAAGGCCUUCGGGUUGUAAACUGCUUUUGUACGGAACGAAAGACUCUGGUUAAUACCUGGGGGUCCAUGACGGUACCGUAAGAAUAAGCACCGGCUAACUACGUG